AGACCCGAAACCCGGUGAUCUAGCCAUGGGCAGGUUGAAGGUUGGGUAACACUAACUGGAGGACCGAACCGACUAAUGUUGAAAAAUUAGCGGAUGACCUGUGGCUGGGGGUGAAAGGCCAAUCAAACCGGGAGAUAGCUGGUUCUCCCCGAAAGCUAUUUAGGUAGCGCCUCGUGAAUUCAUCUCCGGGGGUAGAGCACUGUUUCGGCUAGGGGGCCAUCCCGGCUUACCAACCCGAUGCAAACUGCGAAUACCGGAGAAUGUUAUCACGGGAGACACACGGCGGGUGCUAACGUCCGUCGUGAAGAGGGAAACAACCCAGACCGCCAGCUAAGGUCCCAAAGUCAUGGUUAAGUGGGAAACGAUGUGGGAAGGCCCAGACAGCCAGGAUGUUGGCUUAGAAGCAGCCAUCAUUUAAAGAAAGCGUAAUAGCUCACUGGUCGAGUCGGCCUGCGCGGAAGAUGUAACGGGGCUAAACCAUGCACCGAAGCUGCGGCAGCGAACGUAUCACUUAAAGCGAUUCAGCGGGUUACGAUUGACGGAGCGAAGCGACGUCAAAGCGUAUACAAAGUCGAGUCGGUUUAAGGAUACGUUCGUUGGGUAGGGGAGCGUUCUGUAAGCCUGUGAAGGUGGCCUGUGAGGGUUGCUGGAGGUAUCAGAAGUGCGAAUGCUGACAUAAGUAACGAUAAAGCGGGUGAAAAGCCCGCUCGCCGGAAGACCAAGGGUUCCUGUCCAACGUUAAUCGGGGCAGGGUGAGUCGACCCCUAAGGCGAGGCCGAAAGGCGUAGUCGAUGGGAAACGGGUUAAUAUUCCCGUACUUGGUGUUACUGCGAAGGGGGGACGGAGAAGGCUAUGUUGGCCGGGCGACGGUUGUCCCGGUUUAAGCGUGUAGGUGUGUGUUCCAGGUAAAUCCGGUUCACUUUAACACUGAGGCGUGACGACGAGGCACUACGGUGCUGAAGCAACAAAUGCCCUGCUUCCAGGAAAAGCCUCUAAGCAUCAGGUAACAUCAAAUCGUACCCCAAACCGACACAGGUGGUCAGGUAGAGAAUACCAAGGCGCUUGAGAGAACUCGGGUGAAGGAACUAGGCAAAAUGGUGCCGUAACUUCGGGAGAAGGCACGCUGACACGUAGGUGAAGUGAUUUACUCAUGGAGCUGAAGUCAGUCGAAGAUACCAGCUGGCUGCAACUGUUUAUUAAAAACACAGCACUGUGCAAACACGAAAGUGGACGUAUACGGUGUGACGCCUGCCCGGUGCCGGAAGGUUAAUUGAUGGGGUCAGCGCAAGCGAAGCUCCUGAUCGAAGCCCCGGUAAACGGCGGCCGUAACUAUAACGGUCCUAAGGUAGCGAAAUUCCUUGUCGGGUAAGUUCCGACCUGCACGAAUGGCGUAAUGAUGGCCAGGCUGUCUCCACCCGAGACUCAGUGAAAUUGAACUCGCUGUGAAGAUGCAGUGUACCCGCGGCAAGACGGAAAGACCCCGUGAACCUUUACUAUAGCUUGACACUGAACAUUGAGCCUUGAUGUGUAGGAUAGGUGGGAGGCUUUGAAGUGUGGACGCCAGUCUGCAUGGAGCCGACCUUGAAAUACCACCCUUUAAUGUUUGAUGUUCUAACGUGGACCCGUAAUCCGGGUUGCGGACAGUGUCUGGUGGGUAGUUUGACUGGGGCGGUCUCCUCCUAAAGAGUAACGGAGGAGCACGAAGGUUGGCUAAUCCUGGUCGGACAUCAGGAGGUUAGUGCAAUGGCAUAAGCCAGCUUGACUGCGAGCGUGACGGCGCGAGCAGGUGCGAAAGCAGGUCAUAGUGAUCCGGUGGUUCUGAAUGGAAGGGCCAUCGCUCAACGGAUAAAAGGUACUCCGGGGAUAACAGGCUGAUACCGCCCAAGAGUUCAUAUCGACGGCGGUGUUUGGCACCUCGAUGUCGGCUCAUCACAUCCUGGGGCUGAAGUAGGUCCCAAGGGUAUGGCUGUUCGCCAUUUAAAGUGGUACGCGAGCUGGGUUUAGAACGUCGUGAGACAGUUCGGUCCCUAUCUGCCGUGGGCGCUGGAGAACUGAGGGGGGCUGCUCCUAGUACGAGAGGACCGGAGUGGACGCAUCACUGGUGUUCGGGUUGUCAUGCCAAUGGCACUGCCCGGUAGCUAAAUGCGGAAGAGAUAAGUGCUGAAAGC
rnacentral:rRNA from 1 species